GUCUGUGGUGUCUAGCGGUGGUGCCUGUCUAAUCUAGCGGUGGUGCCUGUGGUCUAAUCUAGCGGUGGUGCCUGUGGUCUAAUCUAGCGGUGGUGCCUGUUGUCUAAUCUGCGGUCGGUGUUGUGGUCUAAUCUAGCGGUGUUGUCUAAUCUAGUGGUGGUGCCUGUGGUCUAAUCUAGCGGUGUUGCCUGUUGUCUAAUCUAGCGGUGGUGUCUGUGGUCUAAUCUAGUGGUGGUGCCUGUGGUCUAAUCUAGCGGUGUUGUCUAAUCUAGCGGUGUUGUCUGUGGUCUAAUCUAGCGGUGUUGCCUGUGGUCUAAUCUAGCGGUGGUGCCUGUGGUCUAAUCUAGCGGUGGUGCCUGUGGUCUAAUCUAGCGGUGGUGCCUGUGGUCUAAUCUAGCGGUGGUGCCUGUUGUCUAAUCUAGCGGUGGUGUCUGUGGUCUAAUCUAGUGGUGGUGCCUGUGGUCUAAUCUAGCGGUGGUGUCUGUGGUCUAAUCUAGUGGUGGUGCCUGUGGUCUAAUCUAGCGGUGUUGUCUAAUCUAGCGGUGUUGUCUAAUCUAGCGGUGUUGUCUGUGGUCUAAUCUAGCGGUGUUGCCUGUGGUCUAAUCUAGCGGUGGUGCCUGUGGUCUAAUCUAGCGGUGGUAUCUGUGGUCUAAUCUAGCGGUGUUGUCUAAUCUAGCGGUGGUGCCUGUGGUCUAAUCUAGCGGUGGUGCCUGUGGUCUAAUCUAGCGGUGGUGCCUGUGGUCUAAUCUAGCGGUGGUGCCUGUUGUCUAAUCUAGCGGUGGUGCCUGUGGUCUAAUCUAGCGGUGGUGCCUGUGGUCUGUGGUGCCUGUGGUCUAAUCUAGCGGUGGUGCCUGUGGUCUAAUCUAGCGGUGGUGCCUGUGGUCUAAUCUAGCGGUGUUGUCUAAUCUAGCGGUGUUCGGUGUUGUCUAAUCUAGCGGUGUUGUCUAAUCUAGUGGUGUUGCCUGUUGUCUAAUCUAGCGGUGUUGUCUAAUCUAGCGGUGGUGCCUGUUGUCUAAUCUAGCGGUGGUGCCUGUGGUCUAAUCUAGCGGUGGUGCCUGUGGUCUAAUCUAGCGGUGUUGUCUAAUCUAGCGGUGGUGCCU
ensembl:lncRNA